rnacentral:rRNA from 1 species
GAUGAACGCUGGCGGCGUGCUUAACACAUGCAAGUCGAACGAUGAAGCCCAGCUUGCUGGGUGGAUUAGUGGCGAACGGGUGAGUAACACGUGAGCAACCUGCCCCUGACUCUGGGAUAAGCGCUGGAAACGGCGUCUAAUACUGGAUAUGUCCCGUCACCGCAUGGUGUGCGGGUGGAAAGAUUGUUCGGUUGGGGAUGGGCUCGCGGCCUAUCAGCUUGUUGGUGAGGUAAUGGCUCACCAAGGCGUCGACGGGUAGCCGGCCUGAGAGGGUGACCGGCCACACUGGGACUGAGACACGGCCCAGACUCCUACGGGAGGCAGCAGUGGGGAAUAUUGCACAAUGGGCGAAAGCCUGAUGCAGCAACGCCGCGUGAGGGAUGACGGCCUUCGGGUUGUAAACCUCUUUUAGCAGGGAAGAAGCGAAAGUGACGGUACCUGCAGAAAAAGCACCGGCUAACUACGUGCCAGCCGCCGCGGUAAUAC